UACGAAGGGUGCAAGCGUUACUCGGAAUUACUGGGCGUAAAGGGUGCGUAGGUGGUUUGUUAAGUCUGCUGUGAAAUCCCCCGGGCUCAACCUGGGAAUGGCGGUGGAUACUGGCAAGCUAGAGUGCGGUAGAGGGUAGUGGAAUUCCCGGUGUAGCAGUGAAAUGCGUAGAGAUCGGGAGGAACACCAGUGGCGAAGGCGGCUACCUGGACCAGCACUGACACUGAAGCACGAAAGCGUGGGGAGCAAACAGG
rnacentral:rRNA from 1 species